UCCGGCUUAUCACCGGCGGUUUCUUUAGAGUGCCCAACUAAAUGAUGGCAACUAAAGACGAGGGUUGCGCUCGUUGCGGGACUUAACCCAACAUCUCACGACACGAGCUGACGACAACCAUGCACCACCUGUCACCACUGUCCCCGAAGGGAAAAGCCUAUCUCUAAGCCGGUCAGUGGGAUGUCAAGACCUGGUAAGGUUCUUCGCGUUGCUUCGAAUUAAACCACAUGCUCCACCGCUUGUGCGGGCCCCCGUCAAUUCCUUUGAGUUUCAACCUUGCGGUCGUACUCCCCAGGCGGAGUGCUUAAUGCGUUAGCUGCAGCACUAAGGGGCGGAAACCCCCUAACACUUAGCACUCAUCGUUUACGGCGUGGACUAC
rnacentral:misc_RNA from 1 species